CUUACGGCGAUCUCUCACAGACAACCUUUGGUGAUAGAAGCUUAGACGAAAACAGGAAAUGUUUACAACUCAGUGACUUACAGCGGCAGAACGGACUUGAUGCCAUCGCAAGCUCUUUGGUACGCCUUCCUUAUUGAGACUGAAUACAAAUCUAUUUGUGUCUUUUUGUCAUGGCUGUUACACUAUAUACCGGCUCUUAUAUUUGACGGAAUGUUAUACAAAUAAAGUAAAAUAUUUGGUAAUUUA